GCGCAGCAGUCGCGAAAACUUCACACUGUGCGAAAGCACGAUGAGGGAAUCCCAAGUGCUUGCACGUAAGUGUAAGCUGUUUCUCUGUUUAAAAACGCAGAGAGAGUAAGGGCUGGGUAAGACGGGUGCCAGCCGCCGCGGUAAUACCUGCAGCUCAAGUGGUGACCGUUAUUAUUGGGCCUAAAAACGUCCGUAGCCGGUUUAAUAAAUGCCUGGGUAAAAUCGUGUAGCUUAACUAUACGAAUUCCGGGUAGACUGCUAAAACUCGAGACCGGGAGAAGUUAGAGGUACUCCUGGGGUAGAGGUGAAAAUUCUGUAAUCCUAGGGGGACCACCAGUGGCGAAAGGCGUCUAAACUAGAAACGGGUCUAGACGGUGAGGGACGAAGCCCUGGGGCGCAGACGGGAUUAGAUACCCCGGUAGU
rnacentral:rRNA from 1 species